rnacentral:misc_RNA from 1 species
AGCAGCCGCGGUAAUUCCAGCUCCAAUAGCGUAUAUUAAAGUUGUUGCAGUUAAAAAGCUCGUAGUUGAAUUUCGGGGUCUGUCCGUCGGUCGGGCUUCACGGUCCGUACUGGUGUGAUGGGUUCCUACCUUCUGAAUAACCGGCAUGCCAUUCAGUUGGUGCGCCGGGGAAGCAGAGCUAUUACCUUGAAAAAUUAGAGUGCUUAAAGCAGGCUAGUGCUUGAAUAGAUUAGCAUGGAAUAAUAAAAUAGGACGGCAUGGUUCUAUUUUGUUGGUUUCUAGGAUCACCGUAAUGAUUAAUAGGGAUAGUUGGGGGCAUUAGUAUUCAAUUGUCAGGGGUGAAAUUCUUGGAUUUAUUGAAGACUAACUUCUGCGAAAGCAUUUGCCAAGGAUGUUUUCAUUAAUCAAGAACGAAAGUUAGGGGAUCGAAGACGAUCAGAUACCGUCGUAGUCUUAACCAUAAACUAUGCCGACUAGGGAUCGGACGAUGUUAAUUUUUAAUGUACUCUUUCGGCGCCUU